UUGAGACAACCCUAACCCUCAUGAGAGAGGCAGACUUGAAGGGCUCCUCCGACGCAGAGGAGGGUGGGCGACGGCGACUCCAGAGGCGACAGCAGCUGCAACUAGGCGAGAUGAGGCGGCGGUGAGGUCUCCUCUUCCAUCUUCAUUUUCAUGUGGUGCUUAAAUAUGUUUGAUUUCUAGGAGUUUGCUCCCCUCUUUUCCUUUCUCUCUCAUCAGUUUCAAAGCCCUAAUCAGUUUCAAAGAACAGAGGAAUGGUCUGAACUGAACCCCCUCCAUUGAUUCUUUGUCUUCCCUUUCCAUCCGAUCUUCUAUGGCGUCAAUGUCUAGAUUUGUUGCCAAAGAUUGUAGAUUGCAGCCUCACCAUGCUCUUUACAAGCAAAACUAUUUGCUUACCUAUAAGGAAGAUUGAAUCCACAAAAAUAGUGGAAAAGAUGAGUGAUUGGAGUAAGGGUUGAAGCCCAACAAAGUGUACUAUUAUCAAUGUGGAGAUCAUUCUAUACCAGCAAUGAGUAAUGUGUCCUACAAAUGCAACACAAAGAAGUGAUGGAAUUAUAAGAGAGAGUUGUGCUAUUGCAAAGUGAAGUUAUAAGAUAUGGAGAGUGUUAGUGAACAACUUUGAUUUUUGACCGCGAAGACGCAAUAAGCAAUAAACUUUUGAUUGUAUAAUUGGUGUUACUUGUAAUUGCUAUUAUUUUAAUUAUGAAGAAGUAACUAUGUUUCAAUGUUGUAAUUGACUAGUUUGAUUUUUGAAAUGGUUGGGAAUGUAGAACUUCUGAAAAUUGUGAAAUUUGAAAUGUUGUUGCUAUUAUUGAAAUAGUUGGGAAUUUAGAAGUUUUGAAAAUUGUUGAUUUUGAAA